CACCGCUUGGUGAAAAUAUUGCCGGGAGGACAGGGUUUAGUAGGCCUCGGCUCGAAAGACCUUGCAGGCAAACAAGGAG
rnacentral:sRNA from 12 species